rnacentral:rRNA from 1 species
UACGUAGGGAGCAAGCGUUGUUCGGAUUUACUGGGCGUAAAGGGCGCGUAGGCGGCAAUUCAAGUCAGCUGUGAAAUCUCCGGGCUUAACUCGGAACGGUCAGCUGAUACUGCUUUGCUAGAGUGCGGAAGGGGCAAUCGGAAUUCUCGGUGUAGCGGUGAAAUGCGUAGAUAUCGGGAGGAACACCUGUGGCGAAAGCGGCUCACUGGACCACAACUGACGCUGAGGCGCGAAAGCUAGGGGAGCAAACAGG